rfam:Clostridium lentocellum DSM 5427, complete genome.
GCGAUUGUGGCGGAAUUGGCAUACGCGCUAGACUAAGGAUCUAGUGCCUGUAACGGGCUUGGGGGUUCGAGUCCCCCCAAUCGCA